AAAAAGCUAAAAUUAAAAGGAGGAAGCGCUUCCCGGCUCCUCUCCGCCUGCUUUCAAAACCUUGGCACGGACGGGGAAUAUCUGGCAGAGUGUACUGCUGCCCGACUCUAGCCUUCGACGAGGAGUUCGCCGUGAAAUACAUCGACAAGGCCCUCUUCUACGACCCUCUCAACCGCGAUCUCGCCCUCCGCGAGGCCCAGAUGCACCAGCUUGCCUCCGUCGGAAUGCUCGCGCCGUCUCGAUCCACGCCACCUACGAGGGCGUCGACUCCCUCCACCUCGUCCUCGACCUCUGCCUAGGCCCUGAUCUGUUCGCCCGCAUCUGCGGCCGUGCCCCACUCUCCGAGCAUGAGGUCGCCGCAAUGAUGCUCCCGUUGAUGGAGAUGAUCACCACAGGCCACCGUCGGAGGAUCGACCACCGAGGUGUGAAGAGGGGUUCCUAUCAUGGAGCGCUCCCUUUCUUUGUUUCGUUCCCUUGAGCGAAGGUGGCCAGAAUAGCCAUGUGGCGAAAAUUUCCCCUUCUUUCGCAUCUUUUCGAAUCUAAGAUCUCCGGCGUCCUACGCCCGAUGGCGACGGGAAGGAGCAUGUCAACGGCCAGGAAGAGAUCCCGUUCCCAGAGAGAAGCAAUGCAGUUGCGAAGAAAAUAUUUGCCGCAUAAAAAUGCCCUGCACCACAUGGUUAUUCUUUACCAGGUACAAUUUAUUUCCUUAUCAUGUUAGUAAUGCUAAAAAUUCAAGAUUUCUUUUUUGUUGGCUCUCAUUCAUUGAAGACGUGUUUCACAAGAUAGUUAAGACCGUGAAAUUUGAUUUUUGGUUGUUCAUUACAUGAUUGUUCUUUUCUUGAA